AAUGAGAUAACUGGGUCAAAUGGUUGUUCCAUUCUUAGUUUUUUGAGGAAAUUCCAUACUGCUUUCCAGAGUGAUUGUACCAAUUUGCAGUCCCACAAGCAAU
rnacentral:pre_miRNA from 1 species